rnacentral:rRNA from 1 species
GAUGAACGCUGGCGGCGUGCUUAACACAUGCAAGUCGAACGGAAAGGCCCAAGCUUGCUUGGGUGCUCGAGUGGCGAACGGGUGAGUAACACGUGGGUGAUCUGCCCUGCACUUUGGGAUAAGCCUGGGAAACUGGGUCUAAUACCGGAUAGGACCAUCGUUUAGUGUCGGUGGUGGAAAGUUUUUCGGUGUGGGAUGAGCUCGCGGCCUAUCCGCUUGUUGGUGGGGUAAUGGCCUACCAAGGCGUCGACGGGUAGCCGGCCUGAGAGGGUGUACGGCCGCAUUGGGACUGAGAGACGGCCCAGGCUCCUACGGGAGGCAGAAGUGGGGAAGAUUGCACGAUGGGCGCAAGCCUGAUGCAGCGAGGCCGCGUGGGGGAUGACGGCCUUCGGGUUGUAAACUCCUUUCGCCAAGGACGAAGCGUUUUGUGACGGUACUUGGAGAAGAAGCACCGGCUAACUACGUG